UCUCUGGGAAACAGAGAGCAGGGCCUUCGGAGCUGGUCUCCCCGCGCUGGGCAGUCUCAAGGGGCACACUCAUUGAAGAUACCCGCGUUCCCCAGAGGGAGGCUGGUCGAGGAGGCUAAGUGAUCUGGAAUCAAACCGGCGAUAUUUCCAAGGCAUGCUUAUGUGCAGAAAUAUUGAGAGGUGAAAUGGGAAGAUGUCUGGGAUCCACUUCAAAACGAUGCAUUAGGACGGUGUGGAAGAUACAGAUGAAAUGUAAUUUCAGGAAAGUGAGGACUUAAAUCAUGGACUUCCCUGGUG